rnacentral:rRNA from 1 species
AGUGAACGCUGGCGGUAGGCCUAACACAUGCAAGUCGAACGGCAGCACAGUAAGAGCUUGCUCUUACGGGUGGCGAGUGGCGGACGGGUGAGGAAUACAUCGGAAUCUACUUUUUCGUGGGGGAUAACGUAGGGAAACUUACGCUAAUACCGCAUACGACCUACGGGUGAAAGCAGGGGAUCUUCGGACCUUGCGCGAUUGAAUGAGCCGAUGUCGGAUUAGCUAGUUGGCGGGGUAAAGGCCCACCAAGGCGACGAUCCGUAGCUGGUCUGAGAGGAUGAUCAGCCACACUAGAACUGAGACACGGUCCAGACUACUACGGGAGGCAGCAGUGGGGAAUAUUGGACAAUGGGCGCAAGCCUGAUCCAGCCAUACCGCGUGGGUGAAGAAGGCCUUCGGGUUGUAAAGCCCUUUUGUUGGGAAAGAAAAGCAGCAGGUUAAUACCCCGCUGUUCUGACGGUACCCAAAGAAUAAGCACCGGCUAACUUCGUG